ACUAAGCGUACACGGUGGAUGCCCUGGCAGUCAGAGGCGAUGAAGGGCGUGCUAAUCUGCGAUAAGCGCCGGUAAGGUGAUAUGAACCGUUAUAACCGGCGAUACCCGAAUGGGGAAACCCAGUGUGACUCGUCACACUAUCAUUAACUGAAUCCAUAGGUUAAUGAGGCGAACCGGGGGAACUGAAACAUCUAAGUACCCCGAGGAAAAGAAAUCAACCGAGAUUCCCCCAGUAGCGGCGAGCGAACGGGGAGGAGCCCAGAGCCUGAAUCAGCAUGUGUGUUAGUGGAAGCGUCUGGAAAGGCGCGCGAUACAGGGUGACAGCCCCGUACACAAAAGCGCAUGUGCUGUGAGCUCGAUGAGUAGGGCGGGACACGUGGUAUCCUGUCUGAAUAUGGGGGGACCAUCCUCCAAGGCUAAAUACUCCUGACUGACCGAUAGUGAACCAGUACCGUGAGGGAAAGGCGAAAAGAACCCCGGCGAGGGGAGUGAAAAAGAACCUGAAACCGUGUACGUACAAGCAGUGGGAGCACCCUUUGGGUGUGACUGCGUACCUUUUGUAUAAUGGGUCAGCGACUUAUAUUCUGUAGCAAGGUUAACCGAAUAGGGGAGCCGGAGGGAAACCGAGUCUUAACCGGGCGUUAAGUUGCAGGGUAUAGACCCGAAACCCGGUGAUCUAGCCAUGGGCAGGUUGAAGGUUGGGUAACACUAACUGGAGGACCGAACCGACUAAUGUUGAAAAAUUAGCGGAUGACCUGUGGCUGGGGGUGAAAGGCCAAUCAAACCGGGAGAUAGCUGGUUCUCCCCGAAAGCUAUUUAGGUAGCGCCUCGUGAAUUCAUCUCCGGGGGUAGAGCACUGUUUCGGCUAGGGGGCCAUCCCGGCUUACCAACCCGAUGCAAACUGCGAAUACCGGAGAAUGUUAUCACGGGAGACACACGGCGGGUGCUAACGUCCGUCGUGAAGAGGGAAACAACCCAGACCGCCAGCUAAGGUCCCAAAGUCAUGGUUAAGUGGGAAACGAUGUGGGAAGGCCCAGACAGCCAGGAUGUUGGCUUAGAAGCAGCCAUCAUUUAAAGAAAGCGUAAUAGCUCACUGGUCGAGUCGGCCUGCGCGGAAGAUGUAACGGGGCUAAACCAUGCACCGAAGCUGCGGCAGCGACACUGUGUGUUGUUGGGUAGGGGAGCGUUCUGUAAGCCUGUGAAGGUGUGUCGUGAGGCAUGCUGGAGGUAUCAGAAGUGCGAAUGCUGACAUAAGUAACGAUAAAGCGGGUGAAAAGCCCGCUCGCCGGAAGACCAAGGGUUCCUGUCCAACGUUAAUCGGGGCAGGGUGAGUCGACCCCUAAGGCGAGGCCGAAAGGCGUAGUCGAUGGGAAACGGGUUAAUAUUCCCGUACUUGGUGUUACUGCGAAGGGGGGACGGAGAAGGCUAUGUUGGCCGGG
rnacentral:rRNA from 1 species